rnacentral:lncRNA from 1 species
CUAAUUAAGAUCCUUGUUCUGCCUUUGUACAGGCCAUAUCUUCAAUGUAUUAUAUACUUCAAUAAUGACCAUCAAGAACUAGAAGGACCUAUUAUAAAAUCAUCAGUUGUGAAAUUAAUGAUGGUGACCCUCUACUAAAUGAAAAGAUCUUAUAUAUGUCCUGUGUAUUAACUGCAUACCUCAUAACAAUAUGAAGAGAAUCCUUCUGGUUGAGAACUAAAAAUUUUAAAGUGAGUGGAGUGGAAUGAAGCAACAAACAGAACAAAAAUUUCCUAACUCAAAACACAGUUAUUGUCUGUUGGAUUAAUCUAUUGGUUAUCACUAAGUUCAAAAUUCAAACCAGCCACAUGAACCUAGAGGCUACCACACUGGACAGUGCAGAUACAGACUACUCCAUUUUUGCAGGAAGUUCUAUUGGACAGCCAGCAGGCAGGGACUUACCUACUCUAACAUGGUGGAGACCCUCAAGUAAAUGUUCGGUAAUGUUUGGAAUUAAUGGAAUUAGUGAAUUCAUGAAUAAAUAAUAGGAAAAUUGUG